GAACGCUGGCGGCAGGCUUAACACAUGCAAGUCGAGCGGGGGAAGGUAGCUUGCUACCGGACCUAGCGGCGGACGGGUGAGUAAUGCUUAGGAAUCUGCCUAUUAGUGGGGGACAACAUCUCGAAAGGGAUGCUAAUACCGCAUACGUCCUACGGGAGAAAGCAGGGGAUCUUCGGACCUUGCGCUAAUAGAUGAGCCUAAGUCGGAUUAGCUAGUUGGUGGGGUAAAGGCCUACCAAGGCGACGAUCUGUAGCGGGUCUGAGAGGAUGAUCCGCCACACUGGGACUGAGACACGGCCCAGACUCCUACGGGAGGCAGCAGUGGGGAAUAUUGGACAAUGGGGGGAACCCUGAUCCAGCCAUGCCGCGUGUGUGAAGAAGGCCUUAUGGUUGUAAAGCACUUUAAGCGAGGAGGAGGCUACUUUAGUUAAUACCUAGAGAUAGUGGACGUUACUCGCAGAAUAAGCACCGGCUAACUCUGUGCCAGCAGCCG
rnacentral:rRNA from 1 species